UCUCACACCUCCCUUCUCUCUCUCUCUCGUAUCCCAUUUUCAAAGCCCUUGCAAUCUCUCUCUCUCUCGCUAUCUCAACGGACGUGGAAAGGCUAACUUCAUAAGCAUCAAGGGACCUGAGCUGAUGACUAUGUGUUUUAGAGAGAGUGAGGCUAAUGUGAGGGAGAUAUUCGAUAAAGCUCACCAAUCAGCUCCGUGAGUGUUUUUCUUUGAUGAGCUUGAUUCAAUUGCAGCCUAGGUAAUCUAUGCUCUGUACUAAACUCUUAUUGUGAUCCCUGAUGUUCCACUUAGGGAAUCAAAAUUGUCUUGGAGAGUAACUCAGCUAUCUAUCAGAUCCUAAAUGUCACAUUCUAGCAUGGUCAGAAUCCAUGCAUGUAUGAUUUAUAAGGGAUUUAACUCAUAAUGGUGGUGGCUAAAACUGAGUCGACUUGGAUGAGUUGGCUUGGUGUCAGCAAGUGUUGAUGUCAUUGUUCUAGUUUGCAAUCUCCUCCCAUAGCUGGGGCAACAUAUAGAACUUGUUUCUGUUAAGUUACACA